GAGGAAGGUCUUACUGCAGUGAGUAACGUGAUGAAGGUCUAGUAACACACCCUGAACCACAUGAUGAGGAAGGUCUUACUGCAGUGAGUAACGUGAUGAAGGUCUAGUAACACACCCUGAACCACAUGAUGAGGAAGGUCUUACUGCAGUGAGUAACAUGAUGAAGGUCUAGUAACACACCCUCCACAACAUGAUGAAGAAGGUCUUACUGCAGUGAGUAACAUGAUGAAGGUCUAGUAACACACCCUCCACAACAUGAUGAAGAAGUGUCUUCACUGAGUUGUGGUCGUUUUAAAUGACAAGGAAAGCUGCUCCCUGGAUUGGCCCAUGGGGUCGCUAUGGGUUCUGCCUACUUGAUGCUGAUUGGCCGGUCUUGGGUGCAGUGUGAGUAUUGGUAGG
ensembl:lncRNA